rnacentral:rRNA from 1 species
GGCCUUUUGAAUUUAAUUUAAGGUCUGACCUGCCCAGUGAUUAAUUUAACGGCCGCGGUAUAUUGACCGUGCAAAGGUAGCAUAAUCAUUAGUCUUUUAAUAGAGGGCUGGAAUGAAUGGUUUAACGAGGAACUAGCUGUCUCAUUUUAUUUGUUUUAGAAUUUAAUUUUUUAGUUAAAAAGCUAAAAUUUUAUUGGAAGACGAGAAGACCCUAUAGAUCUUUAUAUAAUUUUAUUUAUUUAUUUAUAUAUUAAUGUAAUUAUAUUUAAAUUAUAUUUUGUUGGGGUGACAAAAAUAUAUAAUUAACUUUUUCAUUUAUUUACCAUUUAUAUAUGAGUAUUAGAUCCAUUUUUAGUGAUUGUUAGAAUAAGUUACCUUAGGGAUAACAGCGUAAUCCUCCUCCAGAGUUCAUAUUUACAGGAGGGCUUGCGACCUCGAUGUUGGAUUAAGAUAAUAAUUAGGUGUAGCCGCUUAAUGUAUAGGUCUGUUCGACCUUUAAAUUCUU